rnacentral:misc_RNA from 1 species
UUACAGUCCAACUGUGCCUUGAGCUGAGGAGAACCUGGGUAUUUGAAUAAAGCAGGAUUUGAAAGGGGAUGCAUCAAUGGACGAAGCAAGGUUGUCAUUUCCACAGCCACUGGUGUCACUGUGAGGAGACACUGAAGUGGCUUCAGCUUCACUGCUGGAGGAUGAAGAGAAUGAGUCGGCACCACCGAAUGCUCGGGUUGGAGAUGCAAAAGGACUGUCCGGCAAGUUGUGCUCAGCACUAUGUUUCAAUUCGCUGCCGGCCUCAUUGGAUUCACCGUUGACUGACACACGGCGGAGCAACCCAUGAGCACUGGCCCCAUUGAGAACACGGUUCGCCGCUUGCGAUAUCGAAAGGGCGGCAGCUGCUGCAGGACUCGGGCUCAUGUCUUCAGGUGAUGGAGAUUGCUCUGGAGUGGAGAUGAACCCGCCAUUAAGAGCAGUAGUUGGAGAGCUGAUACCAUGUCCCUCAAGAUCAAG